UAAAUCAGGUUAUUGAAUACAAUUGGUCACACCAUUGUUCUUUUCCAAGCCUGCAAAUGAGAUAUAAUUACUGACAUUUCAGAACAUUGUUUUGCUAUAUCUUUUGCAUAGAAAUGAGUGUAAGUUAUGUAACUUGCAUAAAUUAAAUCAAAUAGUGGAUAGCAUGACAAACAACAUAGCAUUUGGUGGAAACAGGACUGCAGUUGAAUGGAAAAAGCACUGGUUGUGACAAAGGUCAAAUCCUUGCCUUCUUGCGUCCUUGCCUACAAACUAAGGAUGCUGAGAAUUCUGACAGAAAUGAAAAUGAGAACAGAAAUUGCCAAUAAUUGCUUAUUCGUUUCAUGUCUGAAGCAGAAAUCGAUCAGCAAGUAUGAUUAGCAUUUGCUGUUGUUGUUUUUGGUCAACAAACGACAUGUCAGUGAUGACUUCUUACCUCUCAUUUGCAUGAAAUGAAUGGUGUGGGAAAACGUAAUGAUAAUGUGAUUAAUUAUGCAAAAUUCUGCCACAGCAAACAGUGAAACAAAUAAUGCAAUUUUGGUCAGAACUCAAAGUGCGUUGGGAAUGGAUACAGUGCUACAUGCAAUGAGCAGUGGUUGGAAUGGAAAUUACUGCCUUCAUGCAGCAUUUCCUACCUCCUUCUGCAUUUAGGUCUGGCACAAAAUGGAAUCCAGUCCCUCCCUCACCAAGUUCCCACCCUCUCCCUACACCCCAAUUUCAAGCAGAACAGAAAACACGGUAAGCCCAAACUUAGCUUUGAGAAGGGGUGUAGGAAGUAACCAGCUGUGGAAAGGCAAUCAACCCUCAUCCUUAACUGAGAAUAAUGCUCCUAAACUUCCUGGCAGGGUUUUCUCAGAACUAGCCCCCUGGUUAUGCGAUGCCCUGUUUGUUGAGUUGUCCCUGCCCCCCUCAUCAUUAGUGUAUACAGGGGAAAUUAAAAAAUGUUACUAUUCAAGGCCUUGGGUGGUUGAAGGAUACUGCAUUUGGCAACUCUGAAACUAUUAAGAACAUAAGAAGAACCUCAGGACCCAGGGGCCAAAUGUUACCUUGAUGGAUGAUAGUGGUGUGUGAGUGUAAAGAAACUAGCAUACUAAAAAGGCAAAAUUCAUGUUUAUUUUUCUGCCAACUUUUGCAGAGGGCUUAUUGUCUGCUGGGUAACCACUCAGAUCACAUGUGUCAGUUGUGGGCAUGGCUAGAGCAGCAGUGCGUGCAGCAAUGCAUCUAAAUCUUGGCUUUGCAUAGCAGCCCAACCUACACACACACACACACACACACACACACACACACACACACCUUCUCUCUCUUCCAUCCAGCCAAGCAAGAGGCAUUCCCAGAGUCCAAGGACACAUUCUAGCCUGACAAAAACACUCAUGAGGAUGCCAAGCAAGGAUGGUGAGGGGUGUGGCUUGGGGAGGAUGUGGCUUGGGAGGGGGUGUGACCUGGGGAGAGUUCUGAGGGUCAAGUAGGGAGACUUCCCAGUUCUGAGGUUCCCCACCUCUGAUCUGGGAAAAGAAUGGGUAUAAAAGGCUUUCUUUUUGGGCUGAGAUGUACCCAAAGCAAAAUAAAAAAUCUUUCUGACUCUGAUGUAUUUCAAUGCAUUCCCAGUUCUCUGGCAUUGAUCCCAGCGCUCAUCUCCAAUAGCUGCCUGCAGUUCAGUCUCUUGAGCAACCUAUGUUGAACUCCUAUUUUGUUGGCGUUUGGUGGAAUUCUAUGGAAACAUGAAACCUGCAUGCCUUCCAUAUUUGUGCCUUGUACAGUGAAAGAAAAGCAAGCCAAGCUCUGGGUGGAAACAUUCACCUCUCACAUCAUUUCACUAGUGAACACCAUGUUUGAUUAAAUUAUCUAAGGUGCUUCUGAAAGCUUCUUAGGGGAUGCAGCACCCCAUUCGUCCAGCACCGAAGAACAAGUGGCAGCUUGGUCCUCUGCCCCUAACCUCAUCCAAGGUCUAAUUGCCUGCUUGAGCAGCUUUAAUGGGGAACGCAUGUUUAUAUGGCAGGGAUUCAUCAAGCCAAAACAGCUUGUGCCAUCGUGCUCAGAAGAUGAAUUAUGACGACGGUGCUCUUGCAAGCUGUCCCCUCGUAUAUUGAGCCCCGGCCUAAGCCAAGAGGGAGCAUGGAGGAGGCAGAUGGCAGCUUGGCAUCAUGAUUAAAGCCCUGGAUAUCCAUUUUAAUGAUAUGCCCACCCAGCAGAUUAAAUAUUGCAAUAGUCAGUCCCAUUCCACACUACCGGUAAUCUCAGCCUUAUUUACUGUGCGUGUGAGAAGCUGUGCCUUCUCCUCUAGCAUUCAGAAUGUCAGCUUGGCAGAAAUAUAGCAUGGGGAGAGGGAAGGUGUAUUUAGAGUGGAUCUGAAACAAAUGGAAGGGAAUCUGUUGAAUAAAAGCAGCCUGAUGAAACUACAUGGGUCACUUCCUUGUUACAACUGCAUUCGUUGGACGGCUUUAAAAGGGGAUUAGACAAAUUCAUGAAGGAGAAGCCUAUGAAUGGCUACUAGCCACACUGGCUGGUUGCAUUCAGGAUCAGAGGUAGCAUGACUCUGAAUACCACUCACUGGGGGACAACUAUGGGAGACAGCUAUUGCACUCAUGUCUUGCUUCUGGACUUCUGACCUGAGCACUAGCAAUCUGACUGGUCAACAUGGGAAGCAGAAAGUUGGACUAGAGAGACCUUUCACCCAAUACCUGGAUCUGCCGCAUAAGAGGCACAAACCGUCCUUAUAGCAAGGGUUGCCAUACAUCCUCCUUUUCCUGGAAAUGUCCUCUUUUUUAAUGGUGAAAUUUCUGUCCGGGUGGAUUUUUUAAAUUGGGCAAAAUGUCCAGGGUUUUCUCAAAAUGCCAACGGCAACCUGUCUUCUCUUGUGCAGCAGUUAACUCACUCACGGCUGAGACUCAGUUGGGAACCACAGAUGUUGCAAGCAGCUUCACUGCUCCAGGUUCCCUCUCAGGACUGUGUGUGACCUCACCAUCUGUCCCAACCAAUAGCAGGUGAGGUGAGGUUGGGGGAGGGCGGAGGUGACCUUACAAACAUACAAGCAUGCAUGCUCUUCCCGCUCAUUCUCUUACCACGUAGGUCCCUUCCAGUCAGUUCGCUGUUGCUGUUCCUCCCCCACCAGCUCCCUCAGAGCUCCUUUGCUCAGCCCCUUCAGUCACUCCCUCCACCGAUUCUUCCAUUGAAGAUCCUUGUGCACUUUGUAUCACCCCCAGUCUCAUCCCUGCAAGUUGGUGAGUCUCGUUGGAUAACAAUGAGAAAGCGAGUCUUUAGUUUGAUACCUGAGUGUUAGAGGUUCUGUUAGAGGUUCUGUGGAAUACUCUGUCAAUGGAAAUUCAGCAGAUGAUUUCUGUGCCAACUGUUCAACUUUUAAAUGCCUGCUGAAACUUUUUUAUUCCACCAGGCCUAUGCAAGUAAUUAAUCCAUCCUUCCACAAUGGCUUAUUAUUUUUAACUUCUCAGUUUUAAAAUCAUUUUAAACUUCUUAUGCUUUUAUUGUAUGUUUUUAAAUCUUUUAAAUGUUGCAUAUUUUUCCAAUUUAGCAGCAUAUAAAUAUUUUUAUAAAUAAAUAAACAAACCUGGGAUCCACUUCAUACAGAUCAUGUGCUUUUCCACUGACCUGUGUCCUCUCCCUCACAUGAUCACCUUCCAUUCUGGAGUCUGUAUCUUGCCCCUCUGUUGUUCUAAGGAAACCUUUAUCAGACCGCCAAAUAAUGAUUCUUUGUCUUAUGUAUAGAUCCAGACAGCAUACUAGAUCAUCUGCCACACCCAGCUCUGUGAGCCAACAACUGACCAGUCAAUUGCCUGUUGUCAUAGUGACAUCAAAGUUGAAAGGCGGUUGCUGUAAUCAUUGAUCAACCAACUAGAUUCUAGCUCUUUGAACCCAGGUCACCAGUGUCAACACUGAAUCCCUUGCCGGACAAGCCCAGCUAACCCCCAAGAGCAGCAUUGUUCUUGUCACUCACCAGGCUGGCAAUCCCCCUCUCUGUCUCUAUGGCGACUUUCCACACAGGGGCUAUUUUAAUUCAGCCGCCCCAGGGUUCUGAACUUUUGUCCGUCUGGGUAAUAAUAUCCCAUUGCUAAAAUGUAAUUUAUGUGUGCAUCAUUUGCAUUAUUGAACAGCUGUUCUCCCCUCUAACUGCUUGCCUGCCAUAUUGCCUGGAUAAUAAUAUCUAAUCCAUAUUAAUUAUAAAUACACAAAUUGUCUCCAAAAUAAGGCACGAAUUGUGAGCCAUGCAAGCAGCAAAGUGCCAGGAAAUGUUAAAAUUAAGCCUGACACUUAAGCUUCCUGCUGGUGUGUCAGGAAUCAUG